UAAAGGAACGUUGGCGAAUGUUCAUUUUAGGAAGUAACCAUAGCAACAGUAGCUGUAGGAACCUCAUCAAGAUUAGUUUAGGAUGUUUAUUACAUGGACAAAACCUAAAUACUGUCGUUGUUUGUCACUUUAUUCUGCAGUUUCAGGUAGUUCACAGAAACAUCACGUAAACCUUUAGUGAUAUAUCUAAAUUUUUUAAGAUGCUUGAAGCUGUUUGGCAAACUGCGCUAGGGGCGCCAAAUACAGUUUGCAUUGAGGGAGACGAACUUAUCAGAAAAUUACUGACAAGUUCCCUGUAAUUCCUGAACAAGGUUCCUAUAUAUUUCAGAUGGUUAAUGAAGUGUUGACGGCCUUCUACUCCCAGGACAGGAUCAUUUGAAAGAAACUAUAAGGGGAUCGAAGUUCCAGACUGCUCAGUACUGUGGCACACAGGAUCCUCUCCAAGGCUUGGGUUGCUACUCUGUUGUUUGUGGAAAAGUAAAGUCUUCACUUCACAUUUCCUGCCAUUCCUGUGUAAAAUUAGCAGCAGGCUGGCCUUAUCUACACAGACCAGGGUUCCUGUGGGAUGGAGAGGAAAGGGAGGAGUGUACAGAGAAGGAGGAGAGUCAAGG